AUAAACACACUCUAGAAGUACCUCUCAAGUAGCGGAGGAUCCACUUCACCGCUGUCCAAUGUUCCUUUCCCGGAUUGGAAAGGAACCUACUAACAACUCCAACGGCAUGAGCGAUAUCCGGUCUUGUGCAAACCAUGGCAUACAUCAAGCUUCCAACCGCUGAUGCAUAAGGUACAUUCUUCAUUGCUUCUUUCUCUUCCUCAUUUGUAGGACAAUGCUUCAAACUUAAAUUGAAAUGUCCCGCAAGUGGAGUGCUAACUGUCUUUCCAUUCAUUCGAUCUCUAGAGAUUUUCAUCCCUAGAAUUUGCUUUGCCGGUCCUAAGUCCUUCAUAGCAAAGGACUUGCUCGACUCCUUUUUCAAUUUAUUGAUCUCUCCAACAUUUUGACCCACGAUCAACAUGUCAUCCACGUAAAGUAGGAGUAUAAAAAAAUCAUUUUCAGCAAAGUACUUCACAAACACACAAUGAUCGGAGGGUAUUCUUGAAUCACACAAUGAUCGGAGGUAGUUCUUGCAUACCCGUUUGAUCAUGAAUGAGUCAAAUUUCUUGUACCAUUGCCUUGGUGCUUGCUUCAACCCAUAUAGGCUCUUCCUCAAUCUACACAUAAGGUCUUCUUUGCCUUUAACUUCAAACCCUUGCGGUUGAUCCAUAUAGAUUUCUUCCUCCAAGUCACCAUGAAGAAACGCCGUCUUCACAUCGAGUUGUUCGACUUCUAAGUUCAAACUUGCAGCCAAUCCAAGCACAACUCGGAUUGAUGACAUCUUCACCACGGGAGAGAAAAUUUCUUCAAAAUCAACACCUUUCUUUUGGCUAGACCCCUUCACAACUAGUCGCGCCUUGUACCGAGGCUUUGAAGUAGUUUCCUCCGUCUUUAACUUGUAAACCCACUUGUUCUUAAGUGAUCUCUUUCCAUUGGGUAGCUUCACUAAAUCAUAGGUGUGAUUCUCUUUCAAAGACUUCAUCUCUUCUUGCAUUGCUUUAUUCCACUCCCCCUUGUCUUCAUGAGACAUGGCUUCUUGAAAGCAUUCGGGCUCUCCCCCGUCACUCAACAUCAUAUACUCAUUAGGAGAGUACCUUGUGGAUGUUUUACGAUCUCUUGUUGACCUUCUCAAUUGGGGUUGAGAUUGCUCUUCUUCAACUUGUUCUUCUUGCUCCAAAUGCUCAUCUUCUUGCUCUCCUUGAUCUAGUGUACCUUGGGGUUCAUGAGGCACUACUUCUUCAUCAUUUUCAUGAGUUUUGGAUGGAGAUAUAGGCUCCAAAUUAAUUGGACUAGCUGCUGGAAUUUUUUCCUUUUCACCCCUUUCGACAUCUUCACUUGUCUCCUCUUCAAGAAAAAUCACGUCCCGGCUCCGAAUAAUUUUUCUUGCGAUUGGAUCCCAUAACCGGUAUCCAAACUCUUCUCCCCAUAACCCAUGAAUAUACAUGGCUUUGCUUUAUCAUCAAGUUUCGCCCUCUCAUCUCUUGGAACAUGAACAUAUGCUUUGCAACCGAACACUCUCAAGUGCCCGUAUGAGACCUCCUUUCCCGUCCAUACUCGUUGAGGCACGUCACCCUCCAAAGGGACCGAUGGCGAGAGAUUAAUUAAGUCAACGGCUGUCCGCAUUGCUUCUCCCCAAAAAGAUUUCGGUAACUUGGCGUGUGAGAGCAUGCACUUGAUUCUCUCACAAAUUGUUCUAUUCAUCCUCUCGGCAACACCGUUAUGUUGUGCAGUCUUGGGUACACUUUUUUGAAGCUUUAUUCCGUGAAAUCGACAAUAAUUUUCGAAUGGGCCUCUAUAUUCUCCCCCAUUAUCAGCCCUUACACACUUCAACUUGAGCCCCGUUUCUCUUUCAACUUCAACAUGAAAUUGCUUGAAGACAUCUAGCACUUGAUCCUUGGUUUUCAAAGCAUAUGUCCACACCUUCCUUGAGUGAUCGUCUAUGAAAGUGACAUAAUAGCUUGCUCCCCCAAGAGUUUUAUCUCGCAUAAAACAAACAUCGGUGUGAAUUAGAUCAAGUACCUUACUCCUUCUAGAAGGUGGGAAUCUAUGAAAUGCAACUCUGAGUUUUUCCCGCUAAACAAUCAACACAAGUUUUAAGGAGAGUACCUUUAGCUCCAGACAAGAGUUGUUUCUUGGAGAGUAUUUGCAAUCCCUUCUCGCUCAAAUGACCAAGCCUCUUAUGCCAAAGCUCAAUCGAAGAGUCUUUCUCCGCAACAUUGAUUCUUCCCUUGCUAAGCUUUGCACUUGUCAUAUAGAGCGUAUUUUCCUUCUUGCCUUUAGCGACCACAAGAGAACCUCUUGAUAGCUUCCAUUUUCCUUCGCCAAAAUAAUUGGUGUAGCCAUCAUCAUCAAGCUUUUUAGUGGAUAUCAGAUUCAACCUCAUGUCGGGAAUAUGUCUCACCUCUUUCAAAACAAGUUUACAACCCGUGUUUGUCUCUAAGUGAAUGUCACCCAUGCCAACAAUCUUUGAAGCUCCAUCAUUUCCCAUCCUCACACAACCAUAGUCUCCAUUUUUGUAGGAAGAGAAGAAAUCAACUCGCGAUGUCACAUGGAAUGAGGCACCAUAAUCAACAACCCAUG
rnacentral:lncRNA from 1 species